AGGAACUUAGGAUAAUAGACCAAAAGCCUUCAAAGCUUUAAGUAGAAGUUAAAAUCUUCUAGCUCCUG
rnacentral:tRNA from 1 species